UGAUAGAUAGAUAGAUAGAUAGAUAGAUAGAUGAUAGAUAGAUGAUAUACUUCACAUCAGGAACCCCAUUGGGUUCACUGUAUUUCUUUACUCACCAUCCCCCCAAAUCUUUGGGACAAUGAUUAGAUUUUCACUAAUAUUGUAUAUUAAUAUUGUACAUAGGGCCAGAACCCUAGUGACCCCCCUCUAUUACUGCAAUCCCCAUUCCCCCCAAACCUUGGGUACCAACUGGCAACACAGCUUAUAGCUGAACUGAAUUAAACAGGGUUCAUCAAACAAAGCAAUACCCUGUAUAUGUAGCUAAACACAAUAUAUCAAAGAUAUUCCACUUAGUAAUGAAGAUGCUUCAGCCCUUAUCUCUCUCCUUGGAAUCUUAUAUAUCAUCUGUUUUGCACUAGACAGAGCUAAAAGCCCUUAAUUUUUUCCAGGUCACAACAUUUUGUGUCCUUUUUGAAGUCGUGCCUUGAGAAGGAUCCUUCCCAGAGAUGGAGUGCGAAAGAACUACUGCAGCACCCGUUCAUUGCUGAACUGCCCCCUGCGAAGACCAUCAGGGCUGAAAUUGAGGAGCACCUUCGGGCUGUGCAGAACCGGCCGGCCGAACAAGGAUUGAGAGUAGCUCGCUGGGCCAGGAAACAUCUCCAGCGGGCCAGGGAACAUCUACGCGGGGCCAGGGAACAUAUACGUGGGACCAUGGAACAUCUCUGGCUUCACUGGGCCAUGGAACAUCUAGGGCAAGCCAGGAAACAUUUACGCGGGGCCAUGGAACAUCUACGGCCUCACUGGGCCAUGGAACAUCUACGGCCUUGCUGGGCCAUGGAACAUCUACGGCGAGCCUGUGACUUCUGCGCAACUGAAACAUCGGCAGAACAGAAGGAGGCUCAGCAAAUGGCCCUGGAGGGUUUUGCCUGAGUGUCAUCCUGUGGCCAAUAACAUCAAGUGCCCAGGGUGAGUCUCCUGAUUAACAUCCAAGGAGAAAAUGUAAGCACUAUGUUUUUGCCAGGUCAGCACAUCUGCAGCUCCCUCAACAUGUAGCUACCGCAGGUCCAACAGUAGUGUCUCCUUUUAAAAAUGACUGCAACUCCACCAGCAGUCUCUGAAUUUAACAUCUAUAUUUCAAAUUACCAACAGUGGUGUCCACUUUUGAGUUUUGCAGCUCCACAAGUUGGAUUCUUACUUUUAACACCUCCAACAGUGGCACCUACUUCUUUUUAUUCACCUUUGGCUCCACCACCAGCCUCUAUUUCUCAUUCUGCUGCACCUCAUGCUAAUGCGCCCCUAGUAUUUACAGCACCAUCAGCAUUACAUAUAUCACCUACCUCAGCUCAAACAGGGUUUUAUUUCAGAAAUCCACCAUCAUUGUCUGUUUUACUAACAGCAGCGCCAUCAUCGUCAUUAGCUCAUUUUCAGAUUAUCGCAGCUCCACCAGUGCUAUCUUGCCUUCAACAGCUGCAUAUUAGACAACACAGUUUAAAAGUAAUAUUUUUUCCCCCAAUAGUUCCUUCUCUUCAAAACAGCUUUUGACACCUUCUCAUUGACAUUUUAACCACCUUACAGCACCCACCAAAAUUGAUGCCCCUUAAAAUGAUUAUCUUUUCAACUGCCCAACACUGCUACAGUGCCCCCACAGGUGCCUCCUCUUCUCCCCUUAGUAGAAGUUGAUCCAGGGACUUGUCCGAUUGCCCUUUUGGGAGUCAGGAAGGAAUUUUUACCCCCUCUGAGGCAAAUUGGCUCCGGCUUCAGAUGAGGGUUUUUCGCCUUCUUCUGGACCAACUAGUAAAUAGGCCUUUCCAACUUAAAUUACAUGAGUCUUUUCCAACUUAAAUUAAGAUGCAUGAAUCCAAAAUAUACCAAAAUAACAUCUUUUUUAUAAAUAAAUAUUGAAUACAUUUUAUGAAUGUU